GGCUGAGACAAGAGGCUACUUUAGCCCCAUAUAAACACAUUCGCAGAUGUCUUCCCUCACUCGCCGUCCUCUCCUCCCUUUAGCACGGGCUACCGCUUAGCCGCCACAUCACUGGAGCAGACUGCAGCCCGCUCGCUUCUCUCUCUCUACGACGACCGUGUGCACACGAGCGCGCCCGCGCGUGUGUCUGCGUGUGUGUGUCUGAGACACCGGGGAGAGACACAGAGACAGAGACAGAGACAGGGAGAGAGAGGUUUUGCAUUAGUCCUGAUUCUUCAUUCUUCUGUUCUUUUUUUUUUUUUUUGGUUGGUUUUUUUUUCACUCCUCUCUCUCUCUCCUCCUGGCUGGGGACUUGAAUGCGAGGGUCAGCGUCCACGCUGGGGGAUAAAACCCGACAGGAAGGGGGGCUGCUUUGAAUGCUGCCUGCGUUUCUCAGAGAGGAGAGGAAGAGAAACGGAGCGAAGCCAGCGGAGACCAGACGGGAUUGUGGGAAUGAAUGGGAGUCCUCACGCAGCGUGCGCUGGGAAUAGCUGUCCAUUCCGGCUCUUCAGGUGAAGGGACUGGCAAUGAGGACGUGACACGGCGGGCGGACUGAACGCCACCGGCAGCUGCACCAGGCUCCGCCCUCUCUGGCUCCGCCCCCUAGCUCCCGCAUUCCGAUUCGCUCGUCCGGAGUUCGGCAUCGGAGAAACGCAUGGGACCCCCUCUUUCAAAUAGCCAGUGUACAGGGCAGAGGUAGAAGGAGACCCUCGACUUCAGGCCGGGCUAAGGGAACAGUGAUAUCUACGCUCGGGUGGGGGAGUGGUCCGCUCCUCGGGUCAUGGUCAGCUGACUCUCCUCACAGCGGCACAUGACCUCUGCUGCACAGCUGGGCGUGGUCAUGAGCGCCUCGCGGUCGUAGGUAAUGACGAAGUGUGAGCCUGACGCUGGAGAUGCUGAAGAGAAGAGACGUCCUUGCCAUCGUGUUGAUCGUGUUACCGUGGACCUUACUCAUCACAGUCUGGCAUCAAAGUGCAAUCGCUCCUCUGCUCGCCAUCCGGAAGGAUGACAGGGGCCCCACCAGGAGAGACGCAGGCCAGGGCUCGGACUCCAGGGAGUACUGCUCUCCCGACAAGGACAUAGUGGAGGUGGUGCGCACCGAGUACGUGUACACCCGCCCCCCGCCCUGGUCCGACGUGCUCCCCACCAUCCACGUCGUCACCCCCACCUACAGCCGGCCCGUCCAGAAGGCGGAGCUCACCAGGCUGGCCAACACCUUCCUGCACGUGCCCAACCUGCACUGGAUCCUGGUGGAGGACUCGCAGCGGCAGACGCCGCUGGUCACCCGGCUGCUCCGCGAGACGGGCCUGAACUACACCCACCUCAACGUGGAGACGCCCCGCAACUACAAGCUGAGGGGGGACGCGCGGGACCCCCGCAUCCCCCGCGGGACCAUGCAGAGGAACCUGGCCCUCCGCUGGCUCCGGGAGACCUUCAGCCUGAACGGCAGCCAGCCGGGGGUCGUCUACUUCGCCGACGACGACAACACCUACAGCCUGGAGCUGUUUGAGGAGAUGCGGCUGACCCGGAAGGUCUCCGUGUGGCCCGUGGCCUUCGUCGGGGGUCUUCGCUACGAGUCGCCCAAGGUCAACGCCGCCGGCAAGGUGUACGGCUGGAAGACGGUGUUCGACCCCCACCGGCCCUUCGCCAUCGACAUGGCGGGAUUCGCCGUCAACCUGCGGCUCGUCCUCUUCAAGCCCCAGGCCUACUUCAAGCUGCGCGGCGUCAAGGGAGGCUAUCAGGAGAGCAGCCUGCUGAGGGAACUGGUCACCCUCAACGACCUGGAGCCCAAAGCAGCCAACUGCACCAAGAUUCUCGUGUGGCACACCAGGACAGAAAAGCCCGUCCUCGUCAACGAGGGGAAGAAGGGAUUCACGGACCCCGACGUGGAGAUCUGACGCCGCCGCUAACACUGUCCUGGUCCUGGAGAGCCAUGGAGUCUGCUGGCUUAGCGACUGAUUCAAACCCAAGAAACCAGACGGCCCCAGCUCAGUGAACGUGACCUUUCACCCUGGGGUCACCUCUAAGUGUCUCCUGCUUGGCAGACAGGAACCCCAGGGCAGAGACUUAGUGGCUGGGGGGGGAGUGUAAAAGCGCGACACGUGGGCGGGACUCUGCAGUUGGCUGCAGUGCAGGAGGAAGACGGGGGAACGUACUGGUGCAUGUCCCAGUGGUACGUAUGGGCCUUUUGGGGCAGCCUAAAAAAGGUGAAAACAAAAAUGUCCUAUUUUAGUGCCCUGCCAGAGAGAGAGGCACAAGACUUUGCCCGGGGAUAUGGACAAACCCUAACGAAACAUUUGCAGAGGAACUUUAUAUCCCCGGACAUUUCUACCCAUGAAAAAAACAUUACAAGGUGGCCAUUUUGUGUGUGUGUGUGGGUGAAAAUUGAGUGGCUUGUAAUU